ACAGAUCAAUAAGCGGAGGGAAAAAAGAAGUAACAAGGAUUCCCCUAGUAACGGCGAGUGAAGUGGGAAAAGCUCAACUUUGUAAUCUGGCUCUUUCAGAGUCCGAGUUGUAGUCUCGAGAAGCAUCAUCCGCGCCGGACCUUGGAUAUGUCUGUUGGAAAACAGCGUCAUAGAGGGUGACAAUCCCGUUUGUGCCAAGGACGCCCGUGUGCAUUGCGGUGUGCUUUCUAAGAGUCGAGUUGUUUGGGAAUGCAGCUCAAAUUGGGUGGUAAAUUCCAUCUAAAGCUAAAUAUUGGCGAGAGACCGAUAGCGAACAAGUACCGUGAGGGAAAGAUGAAAAGCACUUUGGAAAGAGAAUGAAACAGUAUGUGAAAUUGCUGGAAGGGAAACGUUUGAAGUUAGACUUGCUUUUGUCACAUUCAGCCUUUUAGGUGUACUUGUGGCUUGUGCAGGCCAGCAUCGGUUUGCUUUGCGGUAUAAGGGUGCAUGGGAUGUAGCUGCCUCGGCAGUGUUAUAAACUUGCACUGGAUGCCGAAUCGCAGACCGAGGUUCGCAGCGCGCCUUUUUUGGCAAUGGGCUUGCCCAUCGAGCGCUUAGGAUGCUGGUAGAAUAGCUUUAACCGACCCGUCUUGAAACACGGACCAAGGAGUCUAACAUGCUCGCGAGUGUUUGAGUGCCAAACUCGAGCGCGGAAUGAAAGUGAAUGAAGGUGGGACCCUUUACUGGUGCACCAUCGGCCGGCGGUGAAGUUUACGGACCCGUCUGAGCAAGAGCGUGUAUGUUGGGACCCGAAAGAUGGUGAACUAUGCCUGAAUAGGGUGAAGCCAGAGGAAACUCUGGUGGAGGCUCGUAGCGGUUCUGACGUGCAAAUCGAUCGUCAAAUUUGGGUAUAGGGGCGAAAGACUAAUCGAACCAUCUAGUAGCUGGUUCCUGCCGAA
rnacentral:rRNA from 1 species